rnacentral:lncRNA from 1 species
GUGUGGGGAGAAAAAGCCACUCUGGUUUGUCCUUAACUAGGACUGGAGCCUUCCAAAGGCAAACCCAAAAGGGGCUUUGAUGACACGUCUCUUAUUUCCGAGAUGUGGAGGCAGAGCCACCCAUCCAUCCUCCCAUCUACAUGUGUCUAUCAGUGACCCAUUCACCCACCCAUCAUCCAUUCACCCAUCCACCCAUCAUCCAUUCACCCAUCCAUCCAUCAUCCAUUCACCCAUCCAUCCAUCCAUCCAUUCACCCACCCAUCCAUCAUCCAUCAUCCAUCUAUAAACCUAUCAGUAACCCUCCAUCCAUCAUCCAUCCAUCCAUCCAUCCAUCCAUCCAUCAUACAUCAUCCAUCUAUAAAUCCAUCAGUAACCCACUCAUCCAUCCCCCAUCUACACAUCCAUCAGUAACCCACUCAUCCAUCCAUCUAUCCAUCAUGCAUCAUCCAUCUAUAAAUCCAUCAGUAACCCACUCAUCCAUCCAUCAUACAUCAUCCAUCUAUAAAUCUAUCAGUAACCGUCCAUCCAUCAUCCAUCCAUCCAUCAUGCAUCAUCCAUCUAUAAAUGCAUCAGUAACCCACUCAUCCAUCCCCCAUCUACACAUCCAUCAGUAAUCCACCCAUCCAUCCAUCUACACAUCCAACCAUACAUCCAUCCCAUUUACACAUCAAGUAAUCCACCUACCCAUCCCCCAUCUACACAUCCAUCAGUAACCCACUCAUCCAUCCAACCAUCCAUCUGCGUAUCCAGCCAUCCAUCCAUCUCCACAUGUACACAUCCAUCAGUCAUCCAUCCAUCCAGUCACCCAUUCAUUGCCCCAUCUACACCCAUCAGUAACCCAGCCAUCCAUCUAUCCAUUCGCCCACCUGGUCCCCCAUCCAUCGGCCUAAGCCUCCAUCAUUAUUCCAUCUAUCCAUUUUCCAUCUGUCCAUCCAUUCAUCAUCCAUGCAUCCACCUGUCUCUCUAUCGCUCAUCCAUCGCCUGUUCAUUUUCAUUCCCUUCACUACUCCAUCCAUCCACCCACCCACCGUCUUUCAGCAUGCUUGCAUUGGGUAUCUUUUACCUGCUUGAGUAUCUUUUAUCUGUCAGGAGCUCUGGUGGGCAAACA